rnacentral:rRNA from 1 species
CUACGGGAGGCAGCAGUGGGGAAUCUUGGGCAAUGGGCGCAAGCCUGACCCAGCCAUGCCGCGUGUGCGAAGAAGGCCUUCGGGUUGUAAAGCACUUUCAGUGGUGAAGAAAAGCCAGGGGCUAAUACCUCCAGGUCUUGACGUUAGCCACAGAAGAAGCACCGGCUAACUCCGUGCCAGCAGCCGCGGUAAUACGGAGGGUGCGAACGUUAAUCGGAAUUACUGGGCGUAAAGCGCGCGUAGGCGGUUCGGUAAGUGGGAUGUGAAAGCCCCGGGCUUAACCUGGGAACUGCAUUCCAAACUGCCGAGCUAGAGUAUGGUAGAGGGAGGUAGAAUUUCCUGUGUAGCGGUGAAAUGCGUAGAUAUAGGAAGGAAUACCAGUGGCGAAGGCGGCCUCCUGGAUCAAUACUGACGCUGAGGUGCGAAAGCGUGGGGAGCAAACAGGAUUAGAUACCCCGGU